UUCUCACGCCGUCCCGCGGUCUCGUGUCGCUCGAUGGCCUCACUGCUCGGUAGCUACUUCACUGUAACAAUGGGAACCAAUCUUGUUUAGAGAGAAGUUUUUGUCAGUGAAAAGUACAAAAUGCAUGGAUCAUCAUGAAAACGAAUAGCAGUACAUCAUAACCAAGUGAAGAAAUAAAUAAGUGAAAGGAACUUGCAGAAAUCAAUUGCUUAUGCAAGGAUAAUCUGCAAAAUAUGUUUGUUAAGACAAAUCUAAAAACCAAACUGCUUGUGUGACUCUAAUUACGAAUUAAAUUGCUGAACCAAAUAUGUUUGUCAAUACAAAUCUGAAAACCAAACUGCUUGUGUGACCUUAAUACGAAUUAAAUUGCUGAACCUCAGUAAUAGUGGAAAAUAUAUUAAUAACCUACAGGGUAAGACUUCCAAUCCUAUUGUUUGCUAGCAUGCAUAGCAAUGUGACUCCCAGCAUACACCAACAAUGCAAAAAAAAAUUAGAGCUGGAAAGCAUGAAUACCUAAUACAAAGAACAUAAUGAUGAAAAACUAAUCCAAGCUGAACAGAAUCAAAUCCUACAGCUCAUCCAUCUUAUGAGGAAAGGAUUCCUGCUUCCAAAAUCUAAUUGUCUCUGCAAAUUCAUAUGACCAUUAUAAGAAUAAUUAAUAUAUCUCACCAUGAGCGCCCAGAUCUUAUUGGAGCUGCUGUGUCUAGGCAUAAAAAGGGCAACACCUAACUGUAACUUCUUUAUACGAUUGAAGAAAAUUUGAUAUACAUUUGUCAAACAAUAGGAGCCGGCAUACCCAUGUGUCUUGAGAUUCCACAUGAUGUAAAUUAAUUAGCAACCCAUUAUUCUAGUAACCCAAUUAACUCCCACCAUCAUACAAUUUUUUGAAUCAUAUGGAAGGAGAGUUAGUCUCAUAUGUGGGAUUUACCUCAAGGAUCUGUGACUGAAACUGGCUAGGACAAACACACAAACACCUUGUGUGCAAACAAUAACUGAGGACAUCCACAAACACAUGUGCGUCUAAAUUGAGGUGGAGGGUGGUGCAGAGGGGGCGGAGAGGUCGCGGGAAAGUGCAGCGACGACCGGCCGGUGGUGGCUCUGGUAGAGCGACGAGCGCGAGCCCUCCCGGGCGGCAUACAACGAGGAGCUCAGGCGCGCGAAGGAAAGGAGGAGAUGAAGCAGACUCGUGGUGCAGGGUGCUUCGAUCACCUCCGUCAUCCAUCGGCCGGCGGCCGGCGCGGCACCGGACCAGCUGGCGGUGGCUCUGGUCGAGCGGCGAGCGCGAGCCCUCUUGGGCGGCGUACAACAAGAAGCUCGGGCGCGCGAAGGAAAGGAUCAGCUGAGGCAGACCGGUGGUGAAGUGUGGUCCGAUCACCGGCGUCGGACAUCGGCAGGCGGCCGGCGCGGCACCGGAUCGACCGUCACGCAGGUCGUGCGCCUCCUGGCGGCUGGGAUCAGGAGGAAAGGGAGAGAGAGGAGAGCCCGUG
rnacentral:lncRNA from 1 species